GUGACGGUCUCUCUGAGCCGAUCUGCGGCUCCUAGACGGCCAGCACACCAUCUGUUUCAUCCACUGUCGGAUGCCCGUGCCUACAAGAGACCAGCACAGACCAAAAGCUCGAUAAAUAGCUCCGUGAACAGAGGCAAAGAGGAAUCAGGGAGGACCAACCGUUGUUUUACUCCCAGGCGUUAACCAACAAAAAGAAGAAUUAUAAACACAAAGUUACAGAAAUCGUCCGCACGGCUAGCGGGGCAUCACCUGCCCGUGGGCUUCUCGCGAGACUGACGCGAGAUCACGUGCGUGAAGCUCGGCGCAGUGUUCAGCCAGCAGAUGCUCCAUCGAUGUCAGGGGGAUUCGCAAACAAGGACCCCCUCAGAGACCGGCAUUGUCUGAGGGUCCCUCUGCUCCUAGCAGCCUGGCACCAGCUGCUAAGCUUACAUUGGAUUCCAAGGAGGGACAUCGUUGUCCUGGGGACAGAGGUGUCUUUCUGCUUCCUUCUCGAGGGACCCUGCGCCAGAUGAAAAGCAGACACUGCUGGCAUACGCCCUUGGCAUUCACCCCUGUGCGCUCCCCAAGGCUGUUUACUGCAAGAAUCUAUGAUGCUCUGCCCAAGGGCUGAGUUCUUCCAAGUAGCAUCCUCAGCCUGAGCACAAGACAAGCUGGAAUUAGUGAAGGUCACGUCUCCUGGAAGCAGUGGAUCCUUAUGCACCGCUUGAGACACCUCCGAGGGAUAUUCUGUACCAUCUUCAAGGAUUCCCCAACGAGAUCAAGCUCCAGAUGCCCACAGUAGUUAACUGGCUGGAAUAAUGCACCUUUUGUUGGCUUCCUGUUGCUCCGCAUCUCACUUCCCAACUCCUCAACCAGUAUUUUCUCGGAUUACCUUUCCAUAAUCACUUGCACUGAAUCAUUAUCUCAGAUUUGGCUUCUGGGGAAACACACCCAAGAUAUCCCCCUUUUUUAAUUUAAUAAAAUCUCAUUUGUGUUUCAUGGA